rnacentral:rRNA from 1 species
GACGAACGCUGGCGGCGUGCUUAACACAUGCAAGUCGAACGGAAAGGCCCUGCUUUUGUGGGGUGCUCGAGUGGCGAACGGGUGAGUAACACGUGAGUAACCUGCCCUUGACUUUGGGAUAACUUCAGGAAACUGGGGCUAAUACCGGAUAGGAGCUCCUGCUGCAUGGUGGGGGUUGGAAAGUUUCGGCGGUUGGGGAUGGACUCGCGGCUUAUCAGCUUGUUGGUGGGGUAGUGGCUUACCAAGGCUUUGACGGGUAGCCGGCCUGAGAGGGUGACCGGCCACAUUGGGACUGAGAUACGGCCCCGACUCCUACGGGAGGCAGCAGUGGGGAAUAUUGCACAAUGGGCGGAAGCCUGAUGCAGCAACGCCGCGGGCGGGAUGACGGCCUUCGGGUUGUAAACCGCUUUCGCCUGUGACGAAGCGUGAGUGACGGUAAUGGGUAAAGAAGCACCGGCUAACUACGUGC